UUCUCGAGCUGCUUCCCGAGUCAAGGCUGUAGCUGCGGAAAAGAUCACGCCACCAAAUUCGGCAUAUCAAUUUGAGGUUUCUUGGCGAGGAUUCUCUGGAGAUAAUGCUCGACAGACUAGCCAGUUGAAGGCUAUAUCUCCAAGUGCAUUGCCGCAGAUAUUCAAAAAUGCUUUGACUGUUCCCAUACUUGACAUUAUCAAGUGAAGUGUGUGGCAACCUUUUUCGUUGAAGAAAUGGAUUUGGCCGUCAAUUAUCUGGAGAACAUAACCAGGGUUCCAAGAUUUGACACACUCAUCAUGUUUCUUUCAUCCUCAAACAACGCUGAUCUUGUUAAGAUAUGGGACGAAGUGUUUGACAAUGAGGCAACUCCGAUUGAGUAUGCCGAGAAGCUUGAUAACCUGCAUACAAAGUACUGCCCCAAGCGAUGACAAAGCUCAACAAGGUUCUACUUUACCCUCCUCCACCUCUUGUACUGUAAAUUCAAGUUGUAAAAUUUUGAAAUGCUCCAACGACCCCUUUGAAUCUCAAAUUAUAUCGUGGACAACUUUUCUAUCCAUUUAUCGAGAUGUUAAAAGUACAUUGCAACUUUUA